rnacentral:rRNA from 1 species
AGCAGCCGCGGUAAUUCCAGCUCCAAUAGCGUAUAUUAAAGUUGUUGCAGUUAAAAAGCUCGUAGUUGAAUUUCGGGACCAAUACGUCGGUCGUGCUUUCGGGUACGCACUGUCGUUAUUGGUUUCUACCUUCUGACGAACCAUGAUGUCAUUAAUUUGGUGUUUUGGGGAGUUAGGACUGUUACUUUGAAAAAAUUAGAGUGUUUAAAGCAGGCAUUAGCUUGAAUACAUUAGCAUGGAAUAAUGAAAUAGGACGUUCGAUCCUAUUUUGUUGGUUUCUAGGAUCAACGUAAUGAUUAAUAGGGAUAGUUGGGGGCAUUAGUAUUCAAUUGUCAGAGGUGAAAUUCUUGGAUUUAUUGAAGACUAACUACUGCGAAAGCAUUUGCCAAGGAUGUUUUCAUUAAUCAAGAACGAAAGUUAGGGGAUCGAAGACGAUCAGAUACCGUCGUAGUCUUAACCAUAAACUAUGCCGACUAAGGGAUCGGAU